UUGGAGGGCAAGUCUGGUGCCAGCAGCCGCGGUAAUUCCAGCUCCAAUAGCGUAUAUCAAAGUUGUUGCAGUUAAAAAGCUCGUAGUUGAACUUCGGGGUCUACCCAUUGGUCAGGCUUAAUUGUCUGCACUGGUGAGAUGGAUCUCUACCUUCUGAGGAACUUUCAUGCCCUUUAUUUGGUGUGGUUGGAAAUCAGGACUGUUACUUUGAAAAAAUUAGAGUGUUUAAAGCAGACUAUCGUCUGAAUACAUUAGCAUGGAAUAACGAAAUAGGACGGACUGAUUCUAUUUCGUUGGUUUCUAGGAUCACCGUAAUGAUUAAUAGGGAUAGUUGGGGGCAUUAGUAUUCAAUUGUCAGAGGUGAAAUUCUUGGAUUUAUUGAAGACUAACUACUGCGAAAGCAUUUGCCAAGGAUGUUUUCAUUAAUCAAGAACGAAAGUUAGGGGAUCGAAGACGAUCAGAUACCGUCGUAGUCUUAACCAUAAACUAUGCCGACUAGGGAUCGGACGAAGUUAAUUUUAUAAUGACGCGUUCGGCACCUUACGGGAAACCAAAGUGUUUGGGUUC
rnacentral:rRNA from 1 species